AAAAACUUUCCAAAGUCCCCCAGCCAUCAGCCUCAACACCCUGGCUCAGAGCAGAUGACAGGCAGAGGUGAUACCCAACAGCUUUUGUGCCAUGGGGUGAUACCGAAGUGGCUGAGAACCCAAAAGCUCAAGCUGAGCUGUUGAGUGGGGUCUGCUGACACGGUGGUGGCUGUUGAUACCCAGCACUGCUGCUCUUGUGGCAUCCUGUGGGAAAAUGUGGGAUCUGCCCCCUCCCCAGACCCAGGGUGCUGCUCACCCUCCUGGAGCCAGUCAGGAGGUGACAGCCCCAUCCUCCCCUCUCCUCUCAUCCAGGCUGUUAGACCCAAGUCAGGGAGCUUGCAAAAAAACUCAGAGAAGAGUUCAGCUGCUCCAGCUACCAACUGCUGACAGUCCUGGAGGUUUCUGGUCACAGUCCUCUGCCUCUGAUAUCACCAGCUCUCACUGCAGAAAGGAUAAUGAAUGGGCUGUUAGAGAAAACGGAAAAAAGAGAUAAAAUGAAGGAGAAAAGAGCUUCUGGUUGGAGCCACAAAGGACAGACACUGACAACCAGAACUCAUGGCUGCACACAGAUGUGGUUCCCACCUCUCCCUUGCUCCCUGUGUGGAUUUUGCUGCCUAUCUCACCACUUCUGAGCAAUAUUAUUUAAAAAAACCCCAUGACCUGAGUGGCAACCACUCUCCUGCCUACCCAACAGUGCCCUAUAAACACAGGCCUUAUAAACACAGCCUGCAAAAUGUUCAGUGGAGUUUCUGCACUUGCAACAGGAGCCCAGGGCAGGGAUGAAGUAAUCUUGAACUGAAUUCCCCCCAAAACACCCCUGAUGGGGUUUCAAACCUCUGAUUUGGGCUUUGUCAGAUCCAAACCAGAGCAGAAAGAUCUCUUAGACAAAAGGAGCAGGGACUUGCUGUGUGAGACAAAGGAAGGAAAGCAGGCUGGGGGUGGCUGCAGUUAACACUUCUGCUCCUGAAGGCCUUUCAGACCCUGCAGCCAGGUGUGCUCAGAGACACCCACGAGCCCUAUUUCAAGGUCAACAUCAACUACAAAACUCCUGGUGUCCAAAUUUAGACUGGAAUCCAAAACACAUGAGGGACAAGUUAAUUCUGCCUGUGAUAAAAGGGAGGGGGGAGGCUGGCCAGCAGAUUUUGCUGUCGUUCCAGUAGCAAGUGGAAAGGAAAGGCAAGGACUAUCCCCAAAGGAGGCCUAAUCAGGCCACAGAAUCACAAUUCGGGUUUCCACUUGGCAGGAAAUAUGUUAAAGCUAAAUGGAUUUCCUUUGGUAAGGCAGAAGCUUAACUGAGACAACACAGUGUUUUAACACACUUUUAAAAUAAUAAAAAUUGUUGUUGAGGCUCUGCA
rnacentral:lncRNA from 1 species